GAAAUAGUUCAGGGGUAGAAUGCUUGCCUCCCAUGCAUGAAUCCUAGGGAUUCAAUUCCUACGACUGCA
rnacentral:tRNA from 1 species